rfam:Penicillium antarcticum strain IBT 31811 PENANT_contig010, whole genome shotgun sequence.
CCGGUUGUAGUUCAGUUGGUUUAGAGCGCAAGACUGUAAUUGUUAACAUUCAUCUUGAAGUCGGCGGUUCGACUCCGCCCAACCGGA